UAAGGAAUAUUGCACAAUGGGCGCAAGCCUGAUGCAGCAACGCCGCGUGAGGGAUGACGGCCUUCGGGUUGUAAACCUCUUUUAGUAGGGAAGAAGCGAAAGUGACGGUACCUGCAGAAAAAGCACCGGCUAACUACGUGCCAGCAGCCGCGGUAAUACGUAGGGUGCGAGCGUUGUCCGGAAUUAUUGGGCGUAAAGAGCUCGUAGGCGGUCUGUCGCGUCUGCUGUGAAAACCCGAGGCUCAACCUCGGGCCCUGCAGUGGGUACGGGCAGACUAGAGUGCGGUAGGGGAGAAUGGAAUUCCUGGUGUAGCGGUGGAAUGCGCAGAUAUCAGGAGGAACACCGAUGGCGAAGGCAGUUCUCUGGGCCGUAACUGACGCUGAGGAGCGAAAGCGUGGGGAGCGAACAGGAUUAGAUACCCUGGUAGUCCACGCCGUAAACGUUGGGCGCUAGAUGUGGGGGACCAUUCCACGGUUUCCGUGUCGCAGCUAACGCAUU
rnacentral:rRNA from 1 species